GACAGAGGGUGCAAACGUUGUUCGGAAUUACUGGGCGUAAAGCGUGUGUAGGCGGCCGCGUAAGUCGGAUGUGAAAGCCCUGGGCUCAACCCAGGAAGUGCACUCGAUACUGCGUGGCUCGAGUACUGGAGAGGUUGGUGGAAUUCUCGGUGUAGAGGUGAAAUUCGUAGAUAUUCGCAAGAACACCAGUGGCGAAGGCGGCUCACUGGCCCGAUACUGACGCUGAGGCACGAAAGCGUGGGGAGCAAACAGG
rnacentral:rRNA from 1 species